GGUUGUUAGCAACAAUGAAUUGAAAGAGUUCUGAGUUAUUUUCCAUUUCAAUAUUAUUAUUCUGAAUCUGUUGUUGAUGAUGUUGAUGAAGCAUUGUGAAAGAUAAGAAAAAAGCAGGGGGGUGUAGGUAGUAAGAUAUGUAAGAAUAGAAAGCUAGUGUUGUAGGUGAUGGUGUAGUGGUAGUAAUAAGAAGGGAAAGUGGUAGAGUUUUUGAGUAGAAUUUAGUGGUGGUGAGAUAUGAACGUGAAGAAAGAAGUGAUGCUUAUGAUUGCACUUUUUGACUGACCUUAAAGGAAAGGAUUCCAC
rnacentral:lncRNA from 1 species